rnacentral:tRNA from 1 species
GGGGAUGUAGUUCAAUGGUAGAACUUCAGCUUCCCAAGCUGAUGUCGGUUCCGCCCAUCGUCU